rnacentral:misc_RNA from 1 species
UAAUAAGUGUUUUAUGGCACUUUUUAAAUCCAUAUCCACCUUGUGUGCAAUGUCAGUCGAUUCUUUCUUCAUGGAAGGAUCUGACCAAACAUCAACUUUAUCUAUUUAACACUUUGUCUGAAAACUAUUAUGAAUAAACAAUUCAAAAUA